GACGAACGCUGGCGGCGUGCUUAACACAUGCAAGUCGAACGGAAAGGCCCUGCUUUUGUGGGGUGCUCGAGUGGCGAACGGGUGAGUAACACGUGAGUAACCUGCCCCUGACUUUGGGAUAACUUCAGGAAACUGGGGCUAAUACCGGAUAUGAGCUCCUGCUGCAUGGUGGUGGAUGGAAAGUUUCGGCGGUUGGGGAUGGACGCGCGGCUUAUCAGCUUGUUGGUGGGGUAGUGGCUUACCAAGGCUUAGACGGGUAGCCGGCCUGAGAGGGUGACCGGCCACAAGGGGACUAAGAGACGGCCCAGACUCCUACGGGAGGCAGCAGUCGGGAAUAUGACAGAGUGGGCGGAAGCCUGAUGCAGCGACGCCGCGUGCGGGAAGACGGCCUUCGGGGUGUAAACCGCUUUCGCCUGAGACGAAGCGUGAGUGACGGUAAUGGGUAAAGAAGCACCGGCUAACUACGUG
rnacentral:rRNA from 1 species